rnacentral:tRNA from 1 species
GACGGGGUGACCGAGUGGUCAAGUCGAUGGACUGAUAAUCCGUCGGGCUUUUCCCGUGUGGGUCCGAAUCCCAUACCCGUCG